rnacentral:rRNA from 1 species
AUUGAACGCUGGCGGCAUGCCUUACUCAUGCAAGUCGAACGGCAGCACGGGAGCAAUCCUGGUGGCGAGUGGCGAACGGGUGAGUAAAGUAUCGGAACGUGCCCAGUCGUGGGGGAUAACGUAGCGAAAGUUACGCUAAUACCGCAUACGAUCUAUGGAUGAAAGCGGGGGAUCGCAAGACCUCGCGCGAUUGGAGCGGCCGAUAUCAGAUUAGGUAGUUGGUGGGGUAAAGGCUCACCAAGCCGACGAUCUGUAGCUGGUCUGAGAGGACGACCAGCCACACUGGGACUGAGACACGGCCCAGACUCCUACGGGAGGCAGCAGUGGGGGAUUUUGGACAAUGGGCGAAAGCCUGAUCCAGCCAUGCCGCGUGCAGGAUGAAGGCCUUCGGGUUGUAAACUGCUUUUGUACGGAACGAAAAGGUUUGGCCUAAUAAGCUGAGCUCAUGACGGUACCGUAAGAAUAAGCACCGGCUAACUACGUGCCAGCCGCCGCGGUAA